UGAGGUGUGGUUCAAAUGGUAGAAUAUCUGCCUUGCAAGUGCAAGGCUCUGAGCUCAAAUCUUAGUACUACAA
rnacentral:tRNA from 1 species